rnacentral:lncRNA from 1 species
UGGAAGACUUAAGAUGGCGGCGUUUGCACGGAGUGCAAUCACUGCGUCCUUACGGGGGUUGCAAGGCGUCCGAAGUAUGAGUCCACUAACAAAAGUCCAGAAACUCGCCAGUUAAUAGUAUUGUGGUGAGUGAUGAGCCUCACGUUGGCUAGAGAAGUGGCCGUUAGCGAGGCUACACACUUUGGGAUCGCGUGGCCUGAGUCGGGGGAGUAACCGGCCUGUAUUCCAUUUUUCUCUCUCCAGUCUCUUCAAAAUAUCGGAGAAUAAUUUCUUUCUCGCUGAUCGCCUAACUUCUACUGACGAAGCUUGGAAGUUGCAGAAGGUUGGAGUGCAAUGGCGCGAUCUCGGCUGACUGCAACCUCCACCUCCUGGAUUCAAGCUAUUCUCCUGCCUCAGCCUGCCGAGUAGCUGGGAUUACAGGCAUGUGCCACCGCACCCAGCUAAUUUUGUAUUUUUUAGUAGAGAUGGGGUUUCUCCAUGUUGGUCAGGCUGGUCUUGAACUCCUGACCUCAGGUGAUCCGCCCACCUCAGCCUCCCAAAGUGCUGGGAUUACAGGCGUGAGCCACCGCGCCCGGCCAGAACAUUAGUUUUAAACUUCCUAACCCUUGGGAGAAGGCAAAACACUUGAUGAAAUCUACAUAAAGACUAAAACAUUUUACCAAUUUUGCAUUGUUUGUUUGAAAUUGCAUUGACGACUGGUAUGUUAAUUUUGUAUAUAUUUUUAUGAGAACAAUGUUGGACAUCAUUUAAUUUUUUUAGGUUUUUUUAAUUGAUUAUUGAUUGGUUCAUUUGCAGGAACUGACUAUUAGUAAUCAAGGAUACAAAUUGUUAAGAGAAUAUGUUACAGAGAAAAACUUGACAAGCUAGACUUAGAUUUUUGUCGUUAAAGAUAAUUUGUGGGAUAUGAUUUUUAUAAGGAGUUGCAUUAAAUAGAAUGUCUUACACAGAUUUAAGAGGUUAAUAAUUAUAAAAUUAAGAUGAGUUCUUAUAAAAUAUUCUUGAGGUAUAAUAAAAUUAUACUUGUGGAGUAUAUCUUUGAAUAACAUUUAAAAGCAAACUAAUACUUUCCAGGUAAAAUAAUUAUCAACAUAACUUUUUAAAAAUAAUUCAUAGUACUUCAGGUUAUUUCUAUGUUUGACACAUUAACUUAAAAGAAAAAAGGAAAA